ensembl:lncRNA
GUGUUGUAAUGGUGUGGUAGUGUCAUGAUGUCAUGGUGUGAUGGUGUCAUGGUGUGGUGGUGUCAUGGUGUGGUGGUGUCAUGGUGUGGUGGUGUCUGGUGUGGUGGUGUCAUGUGGUGGUGUAAUGGUGUCAUGAUGUCAUGGUGUGGUGGUGUCAUGGUGUGGUGGUGUCAUGGUGUGGUAGUGUUAUGAUGUCAUGGUGUCAUAUUGUGGUGGUGUCAUGGUGCGGUGGUGUCAUGGUGUAGUGGUGUCAUGGUGUGGUGGUGUCAUGGUGUAGUGGCGUCAUGGUGGUGUGGCGUCAUGGUGGUGUGGUGUCAUGGUGUAGGGGUGUCAUGGUGUGGUGGUGUCAUGGUGUGGUGGUGUCAUGGUGUGCUGGUGUGGUGGUGUCAUGGUGUGAUGGUGUCAUGGUGGCAUGGUGUGGUGGUGUCAUGGUGUGGAGGUGUCAUGUGGUGGUGUCAUGGUGUGGUGGUGUCAUGGUGUAGUGGUGUCAUGGUGUAGUGGUGUUAUGGUGUGGUGGUGUCAUGGUGUGGUGGUGUCAUGGUGUAGUGGCGUCAUGGUGGUGUGGCGUCAUGGUGGUGUGGUGUCAUGGUGUAGGGGUGUCAUGGUGUGGUGGUGUCAUGGUGUAGGGGUGUCAUGGUGUGGUGGUGUCAUGGUGUGGUGGUGUCAUGGUGUGGUGGUGUCAUGGUGUGGUGGUGUCAUGGUGUAGUGGUUUCAUGGUGUGGUGGUGUCAUGGUGUGGUGGUGUCAUGGUUAUGUCGUGGUGUCAUGGUGUGCUGGUGUCAUGGUGUGAUGGUGUCAUGGUGUGGUGGUGGCAUGGUGAGGUGGUGUCAUGGUGUGGUGGUGUCAUGGUGUGGAGGUGUCAUGUGGUGGUGUAAUGGUGUGGUAGUGUCAUGAUGUCAUGGUGUAGUGGUGUCAUGAUAACAUUGUGUGGUGGUGUCAUGGUGUGGUGGUGUCAUGGUGUGGUGGUGUCUGGUGUGGUGGUGGCAUGGUGUGGUGGUGUAGUGGUGUCAUGGUGUGGAGGUGUCAUGUGGUGGUGUAAUGGUGUCAUGAUGUCAUGGUGUGGUGGUGUAGUGGUGUCAUGGUGUGGUGGUGUCAUGGUGUGGUGGUGUCAUGGUGUAGUGGUGUUAUGGUGUGGUGGUAUAGUGGCGUCAUGGUGGUGUGGUGUCAUGGUGUAGUGGUGUCAUGGUGUGGUGGUGUCAUGGUGUGGUGUUGUCAUGGUGUAGUGGUGUCAUGGUGUGUUGGUGUAGUGGUGCCAUGGUGUGGUGGUGUCAUGGUGUGGUGGUGUCAUGGUGUAGUGGUGUUAUGGUGUGGUGGUGUUAUGGUGUGGUGGUGUCAUGGUGUGGUGGUGUUAUGGUGUGGUGGUGUUAUGGUGUGGUGGUGUCAUGGUGUAGUGGUGUCAUGGUGUAGUGGUGUUAUGGUGUGGUGGUGUCAUGGUGUAGGGGUGUCAUGGUGUAGUGGUGUCAUGGUGUGGUGGUGUCAUGGUGUGGUGGUGUCAUGGUGUCAUGGUGUGGUGGUGUCAUGGUGUAGGGGUGUCAUGGUGUAGUGGUGUCAUGGUGUGGUGGUGUCAUGGUGUGGUGGUGUCAUGGUGUCAUGGUGUGGUGGUGUG